GAUGAACGCUGGCGGCGUGCCUAAUACAUGCAAGUCGAGCGAACAGACGAUGAGCUUGCUCCUUUGUCGUUUGCGGCGGACGUGUGAGUAACACGUAGGUAACCUACCUAUAAGUCUGGUAUCACUUCGGGAAACCGGCUCUAAUACCGUAUAAUAUUUCGAACCGCAUGGUUCGAUAGUGAAAGAUGGCUUUGCUAUCACUUCUCGAUGAACCUGCGCCGUAUUAGCUAGUUGUUAAGGUAACGGCUUACCAAGGCAACGAUACGUAGCCGACGUGAGAGGGUGAUAGGCGACACGGGAAGUGAGACACGGUCCAGACGACUACGGGAGGCAGCAGUAGGGAAUCUUACGCAAUGGGCGAAAGCAUGACAGAGCAGGGCCGCGUGAGUGGUGAAGGUGUUCGGAUCGUAAAAAUCUGUUAUUAGGGAAGAACAAACGUGGAAGGAAAUGAGCACGGAGUGACGGUAACUAAUCAGAAAGCAACGGCUAACUACGUG
rnacentral:rRNA from 1 species